rnacentral:lncRNA from 1 species
UGGUCCGUCACGUGGGUCCCGGAGAAUAAAGCAGGAGGAGGGAGGAAGUCCUCGAAAUGAGACGGCCAGGGACGGCCAGCAGCUGAUAGGCUGGGUUUUGAGCAGGGAGGAAGAGGAACGCCUUUGAUGCCCAGGGCAUGCUGCCCCCUGCAGGAUGCUGCAGCCUGCGGGGUGUACAAGAGAGAGAACAUCCUGGAGAGAGGGCACCGGGCGAGGUGGGCAGUCCGGCAGAGCCAGGAGACCAUGCCCAGGAGAGAAUGGAACUCUGCUGGACAUCCCAGAGCCCUCUUCAAGGCAGAGAGCCCAUUGGCAGGCCCCACGGUAAGUUCAGAAGAGGGCAUAGGAGUUCCCUCAUGGCUCAGUGGGUUAAGGAUCUGGCAUUGUCACUGCUGUGGCUCUGGUUACAGUUGUGGCUUGGGUUCUGUCUCCGGCCCAGGAACUUCUGCAUGCCGUGGGAGAAGGAGAAAGAGAAAAAGGAGAAGGAGAAGAAGGCAUAAA